CAUAUGGGUCUGUGAUCCGUAUCUAUAGGAACGGACGGACACAUGCCGACAGGCAGCACAAAUAUUUGCCCUCGUAAAGCAAUCUGCUUCUCAGCUGCCCGGAGACUGUCUGUUAUGACAAUUGAUUCCGCGCCGCCUUGCGAUGCUUUGCGAUGCGAUGCGAUGCAUUGUAAUAGUUCCCCAGUUGACCAUCUCGGGAGUGGAUGGGAGUGUCCAGAGUCGUAAAAGUUAUGGAAACCAAAUGCGAAUACGGGAUACUUGAUGGCGGCGCAUGGCGGCCAUUCGAAUGGAUCAACGAACCCAAAAAUAGCAGAUGCAGAUACAGAUGCGGCGAUGUGAUCCAACAAUUAUCAAUUGUGAUUACUUCAUUCGGUUCGAAAUGGAGCCUCAAGCCGUCAAACUGGUUAACUGAUGCAACUUGGCCUGCCGCUGGGCAUAAAUUGCAAUUUACGGUGUACCAAUUCUUGAUGAGGAAGAAGAGCAAUGGAAAUGGAAAAAACUGAACGAAAUCAAAGAAAAUAAAAAAAGGGGGACAUUUCAGAGAUACACACGCAGAUACAGAUACUCACGCACACUGUCAACGGCGAAUAUUUCAAGUUUCCUAGUCUCGAUUUUCCGUUCUCCCCGGCGUUUAAAUAUUUCAUUUUGUCAAAAAAGAAUGGAGCAAGGAAUGCACCGAAAAAAAACAGCGGAAAAUGGGGAAACGAGAGCAGCUGCCAAAGCUUUUAGGUAAAUUAAAUAAUUCUUCCUCCUCUCUGUCAUUUUAGUCCAAAUGAAAAAUUGCUGGGGCAGCACGAAUAGUUUAGUUUAUUUUAGCCUGAGCUCAAAAACGACAGCAGGAGCAAUCCAUCAAAAACUACAGAAGCAUUCUUGCUUAAUUUAUGGCUUAAUAAACCCGGUAUCUCGCCGCGGGACAUCCAUGUUAAUCAGAUAUUCCCAGCGCAGAAGCCCAGGCAGUUCGAUUGAAAUAUGGCCGCGGCGGAAACGCCAAAUGGGAUUGAGCCCAGGUAUGGGUCUGGAAUGGAAAUGCAUUCCCCAAUUACCAAUUACCAUUCCCGGCGUUGCAUGUGUGCACCGGAUAAUGUCAAUCAGCGAACAUUCUUCAUUUUUGUUUACUCACUCACCUUGGGGCGUUCUCCAUGCUGUGGCCUCUUGU